GGCAAAUGAGAGCCAAGAGGGUUGUGGCACUUGUGGUUUAUUUUAGAGGUGGUUUAUUCUCUGAAAAGAAAAAAAAAAAGAAAGAAAGAAACAGAAGAAAAAAAAAGAAAGAAAGAAAGAAACAUUCUGAAAUUUUCACAUGGAAUAGAGAUCUCGUCUGCGUCCUGCUGAGUUGCUUUAAAGAAAACUUUGGUCUCCAAAGACAUCAGUGAGAAAACUAACAAGAGCAUUUUGGGAGAAUAACUAUUUGAUGCCAGAAGGACACUCGGGAUGAAAUUCAGUUGUCUAAACUGGCAUCUAUGGUUCUUGCUAGACCUCGUGGGACGGUGUCUGAGAGAACUGCACCAGGCUGGCUGACAUUAUGUGGGACCUAGGGGAGCUCUGUGCCCUCAUGGCAAAACAGAGCAACACAAGAGGCAUUCACACAAUCUACUCUGGCAGAACAGUGACGGAGGCAAUAACUUCUAGAAAGAGGGCAGCUGAGGACAGAGAUUUCUACCAAACAGUACAUUUGGAUCU
rnacentral:lncRNA from 1 species